rnacentral:rRNA from 1 species
UACAGAGGGGGGCGAGCGUUGUUCGGAAUUACUGGGGCGUAAAAGGGCGCGUAGGCGGCCUUCUAAGUCGAACGUGAAAUCCCCGGGCUCAACCCGGGAACUGCGUCCGAUACUGGGAGGCUUGAAUCCGGGAGAGGGAUGUGGAAUUCCAGGUGUAGCGGUGAAAUGCGUAGAUAUCUGGAGGAACACCGGUGGCGAAGGCGGCAUCCUGGACCGGUAUUGACGCUGAGGCGCGAAAGCCAGGGGAGCAAACGGG